rnacentral:rRNA from 1 species
UACAGAGGGUGCAAGCGUUGUUCGGAAUUACUGGGCGUAAAGCGCGUGUAGGCGGCUUUUUUAAGUCGGACGUGAAAUCCCUGGGCUCAACCCAGGAACUGCGUCCGAUACUGGUUGGCUUGAAUCCGGGAGAGGGAUGUGGAAUUCCAGGUGUAGCGGUGAAAUGCGUAGAUAUCUGGAGGAACACCGGUGGCGAAGGCGGCAUCCUGGACCGGCAUUGACGCUGAUGAGCGAAAGCCAGGGGAGCAAACGGG